rnacentral:rRNA from 1 species
UACGAAGGGGGCUAGCGUUGUUCGGAAUUACUGGGCGUAAAGCGCACGUAGGCGGAUACUUAAGUCAGGGGUGAAAUCCCAGAGCUCAACUCUGGAACUGCCUUUGAUACUGUCGAUCUGGAGUAUGGAAGAGGUGAGUGGAAUUCCGAGUGUAGAGGUGAAAUUCGUAGAUAUUCGGAGGAACACCAGUGGCGAAGGCGGCUCACUGGUCCAUUACUGACGCUGGAGGUGCGAAAGCGUGGGGAGCAAACAGG